GGUCCCCCACCAAGCGCAGGACCCCCCGUCCCCGCCCAGGCUCAAGUGCAUGUGCUUUCUUCUCUUUUACAGUUCCUCGGGGGCCUGUGUGGAAUAAAACACAAUUCUUUAUCUGACUGUUAGGAGAGGGAAGAGAAGACUCCUCAGGGUUUCCAAAGAGGUCCGGGCUGGCUACCUUAUUUUAAAGAAAAUACAAGAACAAUGGCAGCAAGAGCUUGGAUUUAUAAGAUUGUUUGCCAAAGACAUUGAUAAUUGUAAUGUCCUUGAGGGCGGGGCCCGUAUUUGUAUGUCCAGAAUUUAGCACACUGCCUAGUACAUAGUAAGUGCUUACUAAAUAUUUAUUAAUUA
rnacentral:lncRNA from 1 species